CCUAAGGCGAGGCUGAAAAGCGUAGUCGAUGGACAACAGGUUGAAAUUCCUGUACCGAUACAAUCGUUAAAGGAAGUGGGGACGCAGGAGGAUAAUAAGAGCGCCCAGUUGGUGAGGCGUGCAAGCGCAAAGUCUGGAGAGUAGGCAAAUCCGCUCUCCGAAAAGGAUGAAGCGUAAUGCGGAUCGAAAACAAGUAGAGAAGCUUAUGACUCCACACUGCCAAGAAAAGCCACUACAAGAGAAGUAUCGCCCGUACCGUAAACCGACACAGGUAGGUGAGGAGAGAAUCCUAAGACGAGCGGAAAAACCUUUGUUAAGGAACUCGGCAAAAUGACCCCGUAACUUCGGGAGAAGGGGAGCCCCUGUAACAGGGGGCCGCAGUGAAAAGGCCCAAGCGACUGUUUACCAAAAACACAAGUUUCUGCUAAGUCGAAAGACGAAGUAUAGGAGCUGACACCUGCCCGGUGCUGGAAGGUUAAGGGAAAAAGUUAGCGCAAGCGAAGCUUAGAACUGAAGCCCCAGUAAACGGCGGCCGUAACUAUAACGGUCCUAAGGUAGCGAAAUUCCUUGUCGGGUAAGUUCCGACCCGCACGAAAGGUGUAACGAUUUGGGCACUGUCUCAACAAAGGAUCCGGUGAAAUUGUAGUAGCGGUAAAGAUGCCGCUUACCCACGACAGGACGGAAAGACCCCGUGGAGCUUUACUGUAGGCUGAGAUUGAAUUUUGGGAUUAAAUGUACAGAAUAGGUGGGAGGCAGAGAAUUAGGUACGCCAGUAUCUAAGGAGCCACCGUUGGGAUACCACUCUUUUAAUGCUAGAAUUCUAACCUAACCCCAUGAAUCUGGGGAAGGGACACUCUCAGUUGGACAGUUUGACUGGGGCGGUCGCCUCCGAAAGAGUAACGGAGGCGUUCAAAGGUUCCCUCAGCACGGAUGGAAAUCGUGCGUAGAGUAUAAAGGCAGAAGGGAGCUUAACUGCGAGACCAACAAGUCGAGCAGAUGCGAAAGCAGGACUUAGUGAUCCGGUGGUACCGAGUGGAAGGGCCAUCGCUCAACGGAUAAAAGCUACCCCGGGGAUAACAGGCUUAUCUCCCCCAAGAGUCCACAUCGACGGGGAGGUUUGGCACCUCGAUGUCGGCUCGUCUCAUCCUGGGGCUGAAGUAGGUCCCAAGGGUUGGGCUGUUCGCCCAUUAAAGAGGCACGCGAGCUGGGUUCAGAACGUCGCGAGACAGUUCGGUCCCUAUCCGUCGUGGGCGUAGGAAAUUUGAGAGGAGCUGUCCUUAGUACGAGAGGACCGGGAUGGACAAACCUCUGGUGCACCAGUUGUACUGCCAAGUGCAUAGCUGGGAAGCUAAGUUUGGAAGGGAUAAGAGCUGAAGGCAUCUAAGCCCGAAGCCCCCCUCGAGAUGAGAUUUCCCUCGAAAGAUAAGACCCCUAGAAGAAAAUUAGGUAGAUAGGCUCAAGGUGUAAGUGUAGCAAUACAUUCAGCUAGCGAGUACUAAUAGGUCGAAGACUUGACC
rnacentral:rRNA from 1 species